UUUUAUUUUAUUUUACCGUUAAUUAUAGUGGAGUUUAAUUAACCUAUAUAAAAAAAAAUCCAUGAGUUUAGAUAAAGCCAAACAGUGAGAUAUUUAGUUAAAAUGUGGAUACAUGAGAAAAAGAGCUACAGACAGAUAGGGGACAAGGCAGACAGAAGAGCCCUCCCCCGCACAGCAGAGACCUUGAAGGUUGGAGAGCAGAGAGGGGAAGUUUUAGAAGGGGAGCCAGGACAGGCAAAGAUAACAGAAUGUGUAGAUAACAGUUACUGAGUGGAGACAAAAGGGAGAAUUGGACAUGUGGAGAAUGAAAGGGGCGCUCCUACAUGAUAAUGUCAGAACAGAAGGAUAAUAUACUAAUCUUACCUAAGUCAUUAUUUAGAGUAGGUAAGGUUGUUACCUGGGCAGAGCCAGGUAUCAAAAGGGGGAUGGGUAAAUUGUGGUCUAGGAUAGGAUGGGGCCUAUUGGAUAAGAAACUAAUAAUUUAAAAAAUGUAGCUAACAAAUGGGCAUAGAAGUUAUAGAUAUAAUCAGAUAAAACAUAUGAGAAACUGUUUGUUAACCAAGCCUGUAUGUCCAAGAUUUUAUGCAUUACAGGUGAACUACAGGUGAACUACAGGUGAAGUCACUCAAUCCAGUCCCAGAGGCUUGUUGGGGGGACCAUACCAAGGACUCCUGGUGACAGCUAGCUGAAAGAGCUACCCGGAUUCAUAUCGCACGGCGGGAGGGUAAGACACAGCGACACUGUCAAGCAAUAAACAGUGUUCGAGAGGAGAACUGGAAUUAACAGAAUUCCGGGGGCCAUCUCUCGAUUGAAAUAUUCCUGCCUGUCCUAUCACCCCUGUUUUUGUUCAUAGAAGUGAAGAUGUGUCUGGCUCUUGCUAAGUGAUGUGUUCUCGGAGAGGGUGGGGCUUCACAUGGAAGCUGUUCGUCUGAGCUGUCUUAUCGUGGGUGACAUAUUCCUGAUACAGCACGUCCUACUUGAGUAUGCGGAGAGUGGUAAUUUGACCCAUGGUUUAAACAAUGAGGAUUUUGUUCCAAAAUAAGCAUAAGAGAUCCCUAGAUCUGGGUAGACUGGAAGUUAGAGUAGAGGUUGGGAAGGAUCUCUCAAUGGAGUUUUAUGUAGACCAAAUGGGGUCUCUAACUACAUGGCAGUCUAGGACACUGAGCCAUUAUGGGAUAUAUCGGUGCAGGUUCCCAUAUUGAUCGUGGACACAGGUCAUAGCUCAUUUGGAGAGAGAGGGCUGUAUGAAUCCACUCACUCAGUAUGGAAGGACAAAGUAUACAUUGAUAACAUUGGGGUUCCACGGACGUGGACUGGAUUAAUUAUAUUUAUUAUAAUCAACAGCGCUUUAACAAUUAUACCAGAGAUGCUAUUAAAGGUUUUGUAGAACAGACUGAAGCAACCAGCUGGAUGGCUUGACAGAAUAGAAUUGCAUUAGAUUUGUUAAUGGCUGAAAAGGGAGAAGUAUGCGUGUUUAUCAGGACCAUGUUUGUGCUUACAUCCCAAAUAACACAGCUUGGAGAAGAGGGGUAUCCUUAUAGCAUAGGGGAUUCCACAAAGGUGGAUAGGUUUUCCAUGAUAUGGGGAAAACCUGGGAGCACUGUUGAACUCUGUAAAGGUGAUGAAAUCCUACUAACCAUCAAAACUAUUAAGCUCUCCGAUGCAGGCAUUUACACCCUCGGACUACAAAGGACCGGGACAGACACGAUGGGUGUGUUUUCUAUUAAGGUGCUGCCAAAACCAGAGGUCCCAGACGAACCAGGGCCAGACACACUCCUCCACCACCCCUGGACCGAACCUGUCACCACUGUGUUAAAAAUCCCAUUCAGGUAAUUAAUAUUAGACUAUUCAGCUAUUGAUCAAUUAGGCACUGAGACUGUUGUUGAUGGUAGGGACAAUUUGUGGCUGUCUUAUAUGAGGUGUACAGCUAAGACCCUGAAAAGAAAGGACUGCAUGAGUUACAUGAAACAUUGGUCAUGCUAGACCUGUUCUGGCUACACACCCAUUUGCUAUAGGAGAAGGAGAGGGGUGGUGUUGUGUAUUCUGAGAGGUUUUUACCAGGUUCAGGCCAAUUCAACUCUCUGUUUCUCUUUGAGCCUUGUGUUUCCUACAGUACCUCCUCAUCGGGCCCCUUGGGGUGUUAAGGCAUAUGGGGGCAAUUACAGUUGCAUCAUGGGUACAGGUAAUGGCAUAGAUUAUGGGAGAUUGUCUGAAGCUGAUUGCAGUAGUAAGAUAACCAUUAAUUCCACUUGGCCAGUUACAGGCCUAAACCAAACUAGUGGUCUGGCUGAUGUGUGGUGGAUCUGUGGACCCAAAAGAGUGCUGAGACCCAUUCUUAGAGGAGACUGGCAAGGUACGUGUGCUCUGACCAGUUUGAUAAUUCCACCGACCAUUGUUGAUGUUACUGCUGAGCAGCUGUUGGGUUCUGUAUCCAGGGGACCUGAAAACAUUCCAUCCCAUGGGAGACAUAGACGUAGUGCUCCAUGGACAGAGGAUGUAGUUGACAUACACACUAACCUGUUGGGAGUGCCAGUGGGGGUUCAUCAUGAGUUUCAGGCCUUGGGUAGGAAUGAUGGACUCUUACUACCUAUUAUAGGUCCAGCCAUAGUGGAUGCAAGACAGACUGCAAGGAUUAAUUAUAUCUACUAUAAUCAACAGCGUUUUGUGAAUUACUCCCGUGAUAUACUCACUGGUCUGUCUGAACAGCUUGAGGCCACAUCUAGGGUUGCCAGACAGAAUAGACUUGCUUUGGAUAUGCUUCUUGACAGUCAGGGGGGCGUCUGCAAGAUGUUCGGUGAACAAUGUUGCACGUAUAUUCCUAAUAACACCAGUCCAGAUGGUAGUAUAUCUAAGGUCCUUAGUGGGCUUGAUGCACUAUCUGCUGAGAUGAGGACCAUGGCGGGGGUGGAGGAGUCUGGACUGUUCUCUUGGUUGGGAGCCUGGUUUGGUAAGUACACUGGUAUGGUGGUUACUGGAUUUCUGAACCUAAUUCUUGUAUUUUUAUUAUUGAUGUCUUGUGCUGCUUGCAUCAUACCGUGUUUUAAGAAGUCUGUUACAGAUGUGGUGAAGGCUUCAGGCAUGAUGCCUUUGCUUGAUGCUCCAGUUGGAGAUGCUGAUACUGAAGCAUGCUUUCAGGGAGGAUGAGACUGACUGAGGAUAACCCAUGGUAUGCUGUGGGCGAACCAAGUAGCUGCAGGUUUUGAAUCCUCAAUCUGCUGGUGGUGCACAGUUAACAAAAAUGUCGAUCGUAUUAACUACAUUCAUUUCAAUGUCCAACAACUAGGCAAUUGGACACAGCAGGGAUUCGAGGCUGUCCACGGACAAUUAGCUGCAACUUCCCUGAUGGCCUUCCAAAAUAGAAUUGCAGUUGACAUGCUAUUGGCGGAACGUGGUGGGGUCUGUGCUAUGUUUGGAGAGCAGUGCUGCACUUUUAUUCCUAAUAACACAGCUGCUGAUGGUAGUCUGACUGUUGCCCUGGAGGGUCUACGUACCCUUAAUGGUAAGAUGAAACACCAUUCAGGUGUUGACACCACCGUGUGGGACUCAUGGAUGGAUGCUUUUGGUAAAUAUAAAACCCUUAUCUCCUCGGUCCUGGUGUCCAUCGCUGUUUUUGUUGCAAUUCUCACCCUUUGCGGUUGUUGUUGCAUUCCCGGCGCACGGUCCCUAGCUACUAGAGUUAUAACCACUGCUAUUACCCCUAUGGAGAGGGUUCAGGCCCACAUGUACCCUCUAUUGGACGUUCACGAAGACGGUGUGGACCAGUUUGAAGAGGAGUACCAAACUAUUCCUCCGGUCCCUUCUGAGAUUUAUUUUCCUUAGCUUCGUCUCUCGCUAGAGGAGCUAUUAUUCCUCCGUUUUUCGCUUAUUCAUAGUUUUCACGUCUUAAAAGAUGUGAAGAGGGGGACUCAAACAUUUGGAUUCCUCCAAAUUGUUUGUUGCUUCUAGAACAUUGUUCACGUCUAGUAGACGUUGAUUUGGUCUCCCUCUCCAGUAUUUGAACACCAACAGUACACUUUUAUUUACAAAGCCAUUUUGGGUUUACUACCUUUUUAUUUGGGCAUUUUUAUUGUUCAGAAAUGUGGUGGGUCCUCUCUUCGUUCGCUGGUUCCUGCUAACUGUUCCAAAUGUCCCAACUGAAUUUGGUAAAAGGGCUUUUAUGUACUUUGCGCCUUAGGAACACCUUACAAAAUACUUUUAAACUUAAGAACUUGUCCCGAUUGGUGUUUUUAAAUCACAGAUGAAUGAUUAUGAGGCUGAUUCCCUGACCUGUCAAUAUUUUUAAUUAUCUGUGUUUGAUUUUGUUAUACUCUUGUGAAUUCUAUGGUUUUUACUAAAUUACUUGCAGUUUUUCAUGUUGUCUGUCUGUAAUUUUUGUAAUGACUUUGUGCUGCCUAUCUUGGCCAGGACGCUCUUGAAAAAGAGAUUUUAAAUCUCAACGAGCCCUUCCUGGUUAAAUAAAGGUUAAAUCAAAUAAAAUACACUCUGCUCAUGGCGACUCUGAGCGUGUGAGUGUCCAUAGCAACAGCUUCGCUUGGGCUGCUCUGCUCGAUGUAGAGAUAUGAGAGAGCAGUUAGCUGUUAGCUACUUUUCAUCACUCUAAACUCCGACAAAAACUCAAGGAACGUUAUUAUUUUCUGUGAAAAUAAUCUCUCUUAUAUUUGACGAGGUUGAAGCACUUCUGACUUCAUGUUUUGAUUCUUAGUCAGAUAUAACUGUACUGCGUAGCAGAGCACGAGAAAAAUGACUCAAGAUUAAAAAUGUCAGUGAUCAAUUUAGUGAUCCCCCAAGCCGUACCAUAGGUAUUGAUGUGGUCAAAGUAGCUGAUUUGUGUCAAAAGUUGCUUUGUUGAAUUUACAGUGAAUGGAUUGUUGGAAGUGAUGUCAAAAUGGGGAGCUUUAGAAAGUUGAUGAAAUGCCAUGAAAGUUAAGUUUAUUUGUCACGUCCGCCGAGUACAACAUGUGUAGUAGACCUUACAGUGAAACGCUUACUUACAGGCUCUAACCAAUAGUGCGAAAAAAGGUGUUAGGUGAACAAUGGGUAGGUAAAGAAAUAAAACAACAGUAAAACGACAGGCUAUAUUCAGUAGAGAGGCUAUAAAAGUAGCGAGGUAACAUACAGACACUGGUUCGUCAGUCUGAUUGAGGUAGUAUGUACUAUAAAGAUUGACGUAAAGAAGGACAAAAAUGUAUAACCUAAAAAGUAUAAAAUAUGGCAAAGCGGAAUACAAGCAAAUCAAACCAGAUCAGUUUACAUGUUAUAAAGUUUGAAUGGUGUUUCUAGCUUAAACGGUGUAGAAGCAGUUGAGUGCUAAAUAAUUAUAAUAAAAGUAGGUAGGUUGAAGAUUGAAGUGUUUUUUUGCUUCGCAUUUAUAAAAAGAUAAAGGCAGGAAGUUCCUGGGUCAGGAUGUGUGUGCACAGAAUGGGGACAUAUUUUUAUGCGAUUGUGGAGGGCUACUGAUGGAAGCUCAGCCAGUCUCGCCACUCUCAGCAAAUCUAACCCUGUUUCUACCCUUGGCAGGCAGCGGGGCAUUUCCUUUUUAGCUAUCAUUAUAACUGAUUUGAACCAAACAUUGACAGAUGUUCAAGAUGUCUGUACGUGAUUGUGUUCUAUAAUGUUAGCGGUAUUAGCUAUCUUGCGUGUUAUGAUUUCGUCACGUGUCUAUGGUUUUAUAUAGUGGAGAAAAGUAAACGCAGACAUUUGAUUUGAUUCCCAUAUGGAAUAUUAUUUAUAAUAAUCUUCUGAACUAUCUACCCACUGGGCACAAGCUGGUCGAAUCAACGUUGUUUGGAUGUUAUCUGUCAACGUAGCCCGAUUGUGACGUUGAAUCUACAUUUUAAACCAAUUUGGAUUUGCAAAAUGUUACCAGUACUGUUUUCAUAUCAUUUAAACCAGCGUUACAAACAUUGAAAUGAGAGUAAAACUUGAACUUCAAUACAAUGACUUAAUAACCCGACUAUCAGGGUUUUACAACAUUCUAUUGAACAAAUAUAUAUAUAUGUAAAGUGUUAGUCCCAAAUAAAAGAUCACAGAAAAGUUCAAUAUGCAAGAAAAGCUUGUUUCUAUCAAAUGUUGUGCAAAAUUUGUUUACAUCCCUUUUAGUGAACAUUUCUCCUUUGCCAAAAUAAUGCACCCACCUGACAGGUGUGUCAUAUCAAGAAGCUGAUUAAACGGCAUGAUCAUUACACAGGUGCACCUUGUGCUGAGGACAAUAAAAAAGCCACUAAAAUGUGCACUUUUGUCACACAAUACAAUGCCACAGAUGUCUCAGGUUUUUGAGGGAGUAUGCAAUUGGCAUGCUGACUGCAGGAAUGUCAAUCAGAGCUGUUGCCAGAAAAUGUAAUGUUAAUUUCUCUACCAUAAUGUCUUUAUAGAGAAAGUGGCAGUACUUCCAACCGGCCUCACAACCGCAGACCACGUGUAACCACGCCUACCCAUGUCCACCACGUCUGACUUCUUCACCUGGGGGUUGCUGAGGAGUAAUUGUGUCUGAAAUAAAGCCCUUUUGUGGGGGGAAAAAAUUAUGUGGGUGGGCCUGGCUCCCAAGUGUUUUAUUGUUGCAUUUAUAUUUUUGUUCAUUGUACAUUUAUGACAUUGAAGUGGCUUUUGUGCCUCUUUCACCAUCUUUGUGUCUUCAGACGGGGUUUCAUGAAUCGCACUCCGACAAAAGUAAUGAGGCAAAAUGUAUAUUUCUUUCAGUAUAAUUUCAACGUAGUUAUCAGAACUAUGUAUAUGUUCAAAUUGCUUUAAAAAUGCCACGUAAUUCACGUCAGUGUGAACGAGUCUACAUAUUAUUCAUAAUAUAUAUGCAUAAGACAAUAUUGAAAUGUAAAAUGUUUAUUAUAUUCAUAUCAUGAAUUUGGCGAUCUAUUUAUAGGGCUAAGAUGCCAUAUGAUGUUUUGUCAUUUACUUUGCAUGAAGUGUUGCCACUAGUGAAAAGGUGUCUUGUCAACCUGUUCGCGAAAUCGUCUGACAGCUCCAACUGAUUGACCGAUUAUAGUAGUCUACUGUAAUUAACACAGAUAACAACCCAUCUCAUGCUAAUCAAGCCCUGUGGAGAAGACGAACUCUGAAAAGGUAAGACACAAACAUUUUGUCACCUAUAAAUGCAAAUGUCUCUUAGUUUAAUGGUUUGUUGGACUAGUGCAAUUUAGCUAUGACUUCUCAUAAACGGUGACAUGAAUUACAAUACGGAUGUUUUAGCUCUGACAGAGUCUAUCGAUAAUGGGACAUCUGUCAUACAUACUGAAACUAGGGUAGAUGGUAAUUUGACUGACACCUCCUCCGUUGUUACAAGUGAUCGUGCUGAAAGGUUGUUUGAUAGUGAUGAGAUUGAGCGGUCGUCUGAUAGCGUGUGAAGCAGGAUCUUCUCAAACUGCAAAAAAAGAGUGGUAUUUGUGAAGCUGGCUUGUUGUAAUAAUGAAAUCAACCUCACCAGGGGUGCAGUGGGUAGUUUAUUGGUAAUUCUCAAAGAAGAGGGGCUGAAUAUUCAAAAAUAUACCGGUGUUGUGCCGAAAAGCUCCCCACUUGCAGAAUUCUCCCCCUCCCCCUUCGCGUAAAUGCGCACGCAAUCAAUUCUUCAUUGCGGAGUCUGCCCUGCUUGCGGAGAUUUCCGAUCACGUUAUGCUGCGUUUCAUUUUUUUUAUGUCGGUUUGAACGCGGGAGAGGAAAAUCAAAUCAAAUUUUAUUGGUCACAUACACAUGGUUAGCAGAUGUUAAUGCGAGAGUAGCGAAGUGCUUGUGUUUCUAGUUUCGAGCGUGCAGUAUUAUCUAACAAGUAACCUAACAAUUUCACAACUACCUUAUACACACAGGUGUAAAGGAAUGAUUAAGAAUAUGCACAUAAAAAUAUAUGGAUGAGAGAUCGCCGUGCAGCAUAGGCAAGAUGCAGUAGAUGGUAUAGAGUGCAGUACAUACAUAUGAGAUGAGUAAUGUAGGGUAUGUAAACAUUAUAUUAAGUGGCAUUGUUUAAAGUGACUAGUGAUACAUUUAUCGCAUCCAAUUUUUAAUUAUAAGUGGCUAGAAAUUUGAGUCAGUGUGUUGGCAGCAGCCACUCAAUGUUAGUGAUGGCUGUUUAACAGUCUGAUGGCCUUGAGAUAGAAGCUGUUUUUCAGUCUCUCGGUCCCAGCAUAUGAUCGUGUUGAGCAGGGGUUAUAGCACCGCAUUCAUAUACACUAACUACUACUUCAGAGACUGUUGGAGAUAGUAUCUUCUGACCAAGGGGAGUCUUGCACUAAACAUGAAUACUCAUCGCUUGAGGUACUGUUUGAGAAACAUUAGGAAUAUAUAUAUAUGUUUUUAAAUAUCAGAGAGAAAUAAUACUACAAAAAAAGUUAAUUAUUACACAACUUUUUAUAGGGUUACUGUUUCCACCUGUCCAAAUCUCCACGGUACACAGUGACAGUAAGUAACAUUAUAUAUAUUUUUGAUUAUUUCUCGCUGACAUGAAAGAUGACAUGAUCGAUCACUAUCGAAAGCGAUUAUUGACAUCUCUAAAUGUUAAAACACAGCGUCGGAAUUGUAGUUUACGCAGAGCCAAAUGUGGAUGAAUGUAAUGGCUGAAACCCUUUAUGUGGAGAAGGUUGUUCAAAAAGCAAGCUGUAGCAAGACUCUGGUUGAGCAUCCAGAUUUCAUUGAGGAUUCAAUAGAUUUGAAAAUCAACUUUGGUGGUGUUCCUCUCCAAAUCAUCUAGCUGCCAACUUAUUUAGCUUUCAUUUUUGAGUUUGUAUUUGUUAUGGAUGCCCAUUAUCUGCUGCCAAGGCAGCCGCUACUAUUCAUGGGGUCCAGCAAAAUUAAGGCAGUUUAUACAAUGUAAAAAACCAUUAAAAUAUAUUCACAGAUUUCACAAUACACUGCAUGCCCUCAGGCCCCUACUACACCACUACCACGUAACUACAGUACUAAAUCCAUGUAUACGUGUGUAUAGUGUGUAUGUUAUUGUGUGUGGCUGUUCCAAGAAGUUUUUUUUCUGUUUUUUUUUUAAAUCUUAAUUUUACUGCUUCCAUGACUUCCAUCCAUUUUGUUUCCUUAUUCUCUGGAGAGACUAAACCAGUGCCUAUGGAUAAAUGCUUGAAUAAUGUCCUGUCUGAGUCAUGUCCUGUCUGAGUUGAAGUUGCUUCUGGAUUCAGCUUCUGAAACAUGCAGACUGUCUUCCUCUCAGAAAACCAAGGUGUCGGUGGCUCUGAUCUCCUUUCCAGGCUUAUUGCCAAAAUAAUUUUCCCAUAUACAGUUGACACUUAAAAAAUGAUGUAGCUGUCUGUGUAGCUGUCUGUAUCAAUCAUGGAAAAUAACUCCAUAUUGCCUUUGCGCGGUAGGCUAGGACACAUAUCAUCUAACUUCUCAUCGGUUCUUGCUUGACUGAUACUUGUCUCUGAAAUAUGCUGCAAACUCACCACAUUUAGAUGUGGCGGGAAAUUCACAUAGGUUUGCGGGCCGCGAUUUAUCAGGUCAUCAAUGGUUGAGAAGAGCACUCUCGAAUUAUACAGAUUUAAUAGUGAUGAAGGUAUACAAAUAGCCUUGUUAUAUAUGCCAAGUUGCACUCUCAGAAUAUCAUAAUGGACCUGUCACUUUGACUUUCUACACUUCCUCUCUGCAUUUCUGCAAUUUCUCUUUUAAUUGAUUUAGUUUAUUCAUUCCAAGGGGCUCUCUGUUUGGUUGUGGCCUUUUUUCAACUUUACUGGAGCUGUGGCAUCAAUGGUUGCCCUUCAUUUGCUAUUGCAGUUAUUAACUAAAUCAUCACAAGAGGAAGGUAAGAAUAGGUGGUGGAGUAUUGUUCACACACUCAAUCAAAUCUGUAGCAACUUCAGAAGUAUUGCGUUCAGUAUUACCCUGUUGCUGUGGGCAACAAGGUAGUAAAACACACAGUGGUGAUCAGAUAAAGCAACAUCACAAAUAGAGGAUAUGUCAAUAGAAAACCUCUUGGUAAUAACCAGGUCCAGAGUAUGGCCACGGUUAUGGGUGGGCCCAGUAGAAAGCCACUUGGUAGUAACCAGGUCCAGAGUAUGGCCACGGUUAUGGGUGGGCCCAGUAGAAAGCCCCUUGGUAGUAACCAGAUCCAGAGUAUGGCUGUGGUUAUAGGUGGGCCCAGUAGAAAGCCCCUUGGUAAUAAGCAGGUCCAGAGUAUGGCUGUGGUUAUAGGUGGGCCCAGUAGGAAGCCCCUUGGUAAUAAGCAGGUCCAGAGUAUGGCCAUGGUUAUGGGUGGGCCCAGUAACAUGUUGGAUGAAGUCCAUAGAGAUCAAAAGAUUAAUAAAUUCCAUAGUUAUGGCCACGGUUAUGGGUGGGCCCAGUAACAUGUUGGAUGAAGUCCAUAGAGAUCAAAAUAUUCAUAAAUUCACUGGCCUUGGAGUCAGUUUCUUUGACAACACGAAUAUUAAAAUCGUUCUCAUGGACAAUAGACAACAGUUCAGAUAAAUCAGUAAAGUUCAGGAAAUCUCCAAGUAAAACAGAAAGAGCACUACAUUCAAAUAAUUUAUAAUCGGUAUGUUUAAACACACAUUGACAGUUUGUGUGCAUUGAAUUGACUUGGCAUGGUUGUAUUCUGUAUAUUGUGUGUUUAGAAUCGCAGGAGGAAUGUCGUCUCCCACCUCUAAUAACCAUUACUGCCUCCAAGUUACAUUAUGUAAGUCGGGUAGCCCGCAAUGAUGACUAAUCAAGCCCUUGUCCCUGAACCCUCGCCACUGAACAACCACCUUGCCUUUUAAUAGACUGGGAGGACCUUGUACAAUAUUAAUUCAACUGAUCCUUUCAAAUCUACAAGUAUGUGGCUCGUGGGGAGGUAGACUCAACCCAGACAGAACAGUCCAUUGUUAGUGUAGUGAAACGUGAAACUGAGCUGAAAUCUGUCUGGAUUUCCGGGGUAGAGGCUUGGGAGGCAUGUUGUAGAAUUUUGGUUUAAAGUUUGGUAAUGUGUUUAGUUUAAUGUUUUAAAGUCUUCCACUUCAGUAACAUUUAAACGCUUGACAAACGUGUGUAGAAUAAGGCUGGAUGUUAUUUUACACAUAUUGUAUUUCCAGGCAAAGGUCUACCCAAACCCCCACCAAAAUAUGCCCUGACGGACCAGAAAACCUGUGCCACUGCUACCAAGAAGGAAAACGCAAAAACGCAGCACAAGCCACCAUGUAACAACGGUGUGAGUCUUGGCCCGAAUCAAAAACAACAGACAAAUACUACAGGCAGAAAUACUACAGGCAGACAUACUACAGGCAGAAAUACUACAGGCAGACAUACUACAGGCAGAAGUAAUACAGGCAGAAAUACUACAGGCAGAAGUACUACAGGCAGACAUACUACAGGCAGAAAUACUACAGGCAGACAUACUCCAGGCAGAAGUACUACAGGCAGAAAUACUACAGGCAGAAGUACUACAGGCAGACAUACUACAGGCAGGAGUACUACAGGCAGAAGUACUACAGGCAGGAGUACUACAGGCAGGAGUACUACAGGCAGAAGUACUACAGGCAGAAGUACUACAGGCAGAAAUACUACAGGCAGAAAUACUACAGGCAGACGUACUACAGGCAGAAGUACUACAGGCAGGAGUACUACAGGCAGGAGUACUACAGGCAGAAGUACUACAGGCAGAAGUACUACAGGCAGAAGUACUACAGGCAGAAGUACUACAGGCAGACAUACUACAGGCAGACAUACUACAGGCAGACAUACUACAGGCAGAAAUACUACAGGCAGAAGUACUACAGGCAGACGUACUACAGGCAGACAUACUACAGGCAGAAGUACUACAGGCAGACGUACUACAGGCUGAAGUACUACAGGCAGACGUACUACAGGCAAUGUCAACCUGCCUGAAAUGUGCAACAGACUGCAAGGGUGCAGCGGGAGGUUCACUGAGCAAUGGGAAUGAAGGGAUGAAAGAGGUCAUAAACAGUUAAAAGCAUCAAAGCCUUUUUUUGGUUCAUUGUAUAUCUAGGUCUUUACUGAAGCCUGUGACAGAAAUGCAUGUUUUUUUGUCUUGUACAUCUAUUUCGUGUUGCAAUAAAGGUGUUUAUUUAAAUGCA